rnacentral:lncRNA from 1 species
CAUGCAAGUGCUAACGAAACGCUACCCCAAGAAUUGCCUGCUGAAGGUCAUGGAUCGGUACUCGGCUGUGGUGCGGAACAUGGAGCAAGUGAUCACUUUACACGAGAGGGAAGACGAUGAGGACCCAGCGGUGCAUCAGCCCCGAGACCAGGAAGGAAGACCUGGACCCAGGUGGAUGCAAAGGCGGCUCCUGUCCCUGGGUGUCCCCCACCUCCCUCUGAGCGCAUCUGUGGACUUGGCUGCAGGCUCACCUUUAAGAUGUCUGUUGUGAUUCCCAACUUCUCUUCCAUGUCUUAGCAGUUUGAGGUUCACAGGCAGCAAGGAUCAGUAGAAGGCAGAGGUAAUAGCAAGCGGCCAGAGUUCACAUCCCAUCCCUGGGAUGUCCUUUAGUGCCUGGGGUCACAGUUACUCUUUCAUGUAUAAAGCAGGGACGCUGUAUUUACCUCACAAGGUUACUAAACGGACACGGAAUCAAAGGCACCUGUCACGUGCGGAUGUCUGAACAGCUGGUGUUUCUCUUACCUUCCUCAGAGAGCAUGCUCUGUGUAGCUCUUGCUUUUGACCCCCAACCCCAGGAAAAGGUUGAGGUAGUUGAGUGUGUGGGAUGAGCUUCUCAUCCUGUUGGAUCUGAUGAGGCUGAGCACAAGUGAACUAUGCAACUAUUAUAGUAGCAAUUAAAAAAUACAUGGCAUGCUG